UUAUUUAAAAUAUUAUAUUGUUUUUUGGUUUUUUUUUAUUAUUUAAUAAAAAUAAUUUUAUUGUUUUAAUGUCUUAGUAUAUCUUCUAGAAUACACAUUUCUAAAUUAUAGUUUAUAAGUAAUGUAAAUGGAUUAUGAAAUAUUUAUUUAAAUUUUAUAAAGUAGAUUUAAUUUAUUGUACCUUUUGUAUCAGGGUUUAUCAAAAUUAUUUAAUUAUUUAUUUAUCUCGAUUUAGGUUGAUUUACAAUAACUUUAAAUUUAUUGUUUCAUAAUUAUUUUUAAAUUUAUUGUAGAAAUGAAAUGUUAAUCGUUUCCUAAAAUAUCUAGUUUCUUAAGAAAAAUUUUAAUUUUUUGUAGUUAAUUGUUUUUAUUUAAUUUUAAAAUUAAAAAAUAUUAACUUAUUAAUUCUUUAGGGGAUAAGCUCUAAAGUUAAAAUUCUAUAAUUAAUAUUAUAAAAAUAUAAUAGUAAGCUUUAAACCAGCUAUCUUUAGAUUACGUUUUAGUUCAUUAUUUUUUAUUUUGAUUUUAUAAAAGUUUUAGAUUUUAUAUUAAGAUGAAGAAUUUAAUUUUACAAUUUUUGUAAUAAUGAUAGAAUUAGUAUAAUAUAUUUGUUUAUAAUAUUUAAUAUUGUUAAUUUAUUAUGAGGAACUAGGCAAAUAUGAAUUCCGCCUGUUUAUCAAAAACAUGUCCUCUUGAUUAAUAUUUUGAGGUCUGGCCUGCUCACUGACAAAUGUUUUAAAGAGCCGCGGUAUUUUGACCGUGCAAAGGUAGCAUAAUCAUUAGUCUCUUAAUUAGGGGCUGGAAUGAAUGGCUUGACGAGAAUUCAUCUGUCUUUUAAUAAUUUAUAUAAUUUAACUUUUAAGUCAAAAGGCUUAAAUUUAUUUUUAGGACGAGAAGACCCUAUAGAGCUUAACAUUUUAAUUGUAUAUAGUUUUUUGUUUAGUUUUUCUAUAAAUGAUGUUGAUGUUUUGUUGGGGUGACAUGAAGAAUAAAUAAACUCUUCAUUAUUAAAUCAUUAAUUUAUGUUAUUAUGAUCCAUAAUUUAUGAUCAUAAGAUUAAGUUACCUUAGGGAUAACAGCGUAAUUGUUUUCGAGAGCUCAUAUCGACAAAGCAGAUUGCGACCUCGAUGUUGGAUUAAGAAAAAUUUUAGGUGUAGGAGCCUAAAAAUUAGGUCUGUUCGACCUUUAAAUUCUUACAUGAUCUGAGUUCAGACCGGCGUGAGCCAGGUCGGUUUCUAUCCUAAAUUAAUAAAUAUUUACAUUAGUACGAAAGGACCAUGUAGAUUAAAUAUUUUAUAUUUAUUGAUUAAAAUUAAUAUGA
rnacentral:rRNA from 1 species